CAGCAUAUUAGGUGACACUCUGUAAGCUACUAUUUCGAAUCACUCUGAAUUUUUUUUCAUAAAUUAAGAAAUAAUUCAAGAAACACUACUCACUUAAAGAAACUUUUAAGUGAAUUUGACUCUCAAAAGCGCAAACUCCUUGUUUUUAUAUUUUAUUUGAUUUAUUUUUAUAUUUUCGAAAAAGUCUGAAUUUUUUUUGUAGAGUCUUAUUUUGGUUUUAUUAGAUUUUUAGUGAUGUUU
rnacentral:lncRNA from 1 species